rnacentral:rRNA from 1 species
GAUGAACGCUAGCGGGAGGCUUAAUACAUGCAAGUCGAGCGGCAAGUUUUGAUAGCAAUAUUGGAACCUAGAGCGGCGCACGGGUGAGUAACGCGUACAUGACCUGCCCUAUACUGGGGGAUAGUCUUGGGAAACUGAGAAUAAUCCCGCAUGUGAUUAGAAUGCUGCAUGGCAAAUUAAUUAAAGCUGAGGCGGUAUAGGAUGGGUGUGCGUCUGAUUAGCUAGUUGGUAGUGUAACGGACUACCAAGGCGAUGAUCAGUAGGGGGCGUGAGAGCGUGACCCCCCACACGGGUACUGAGACACGGACCCGACUCCUACGGGAGGCAGCAGUAAGGAAUAUUGGUCAAUGGAGGGGAACUCUGAACCAGCCAUCCCGCGUGAAGGAUGAAGGGGCUCUGCCUUGUAAACUUCUUUUGCGUGGGACGAAAAAACUUAAUUUAUUAAGGACUGACGGUACCAUGAGAAUAAGCACCGGCUAACUCCGUGCCAGCAGCCGCGG